GGUUACCUCCACUGUAUGCACUGCAACCGGCACUGAGUGUAACUCAAUCACCAAUGCCUUGUGUGACACCACGGCUCUGAAGUGUAAAUGUGGAGUAGUAACAGCUAUGGUUGAAAAUAAAUGCACCGGCAAAGCUUGCACGGCCUCUACGACAUGCACCGCUUUGGACGCCAACUCCCAAUGCUCUGGAACAACUACCGGCUCCGUAUGCCAGUGCAGUGCAGGUUAUGUGAUGGGAAGCGAUGGCAAAUGUGCUUCCGGUGCUGCUACUGUGCUGGUCUCUGUUACGAUGUUGUUUGCCUGCUUCAUAACAAGACUUCUAUAAACGUGUUUCCAAACAUCAAUAAUGAAGCUUUUUAAUUGAGUACACACCAUACAUAAAAUAUAAGUUUUUUUUUGUAUUUUUUAACAAUCAAUACCGGUGUCAAUUAGUGACUUUUAUCGACUGUAUUAUUCACUAUUAUCAAUUAAGAUAAUACAUUUUCGCUAAUAAUCAGAUAAUGAUCCCACACACGUUUUUUGUUUGUUUUGAUGUGUGAUUUGUGUUUUUAACAUAUUUGUAAUCCAAGUUCACUCGUUACUGGAUUUGUCGAUUGCAUUAUGUUGUACUGUUUCAUUUAUCCUUCUUGGACUCAUGUUAAAUAAAAACAUAAAAUAGAAAAUAUUUUUUUAAGCGUGAAACUUCCAAAUAAUAUGUAACGCAUAUCUCUGUGCAUAUCUCAAAAUCAUGUUCAUGUGUGAUUUUAAAAAGCCAUAUUUCGCAAAUGAUAUGUUUAACAGACACCAAUGCAAGAAGAAAAUAUGUCCGCUAUAUAAUGUCUUCUUAAAUAAAGACUAUAACAUUAAUGUGUAAAUAUUGCUAGUUUGAUCACAUGAACUAAGUAUGGAUAAAUAAUACUAGUUGUUAUACUUAAAAACACGAUGAAGAUUAAUGCCCAGAAGACCAUGAUAUGCACUAAACCAUUAAUUAGAAGGGUUUGUGAAUCUAUGCGUUGAUUUUCUAGAUGUGUUUUUGAAAUAAAUGUUAUAUGCA